GUAAAUUUUUCACUUAUUUCUUAACUAAUACGGUCAAUGUUAUUGGCUGUUGUGCAUUACGAAAGGUUGUUUAGUGUUUUUUUUUUUGUGUUUUUUUUUCUUUUUGCGAUUAUUUCGUGUGUUAAGGAGCGGAUACAACGCCGUAACGCGCGACUGCCUAUUUAAAAUGCUGCAGCAGACCAAACACAAAUUGAUCGGUUGCGAUAUACGCUGUACCAGAUACAUGUUUCAAUACGCUGAUGCGUCGAUUUUGCGAUUGCGUUGCUCCAGUUUUGAAACGCAACGAUGUUAUUUCAUUUUCUUUAUCUUCAUACACAAUAUUUAUUUACAUUUUAUUCAUGAGAAGUCUGAUUUUAGUUUUGGUGUCGUAAACAAAGUUUGAGGAAUCCUCAGUCGGAGGCAAUGGCUUGGAGGCGACCCUGGAAACACUGAUGUAUCUGAGCAACGGUGAACAUUAUCAGAGCAAUGCUUCGCUGAAUCUACUAUCGGAUCGGAAUUGCGACCCACUGAGAAGAUCCGGCGAGAAAUUCAGUUGGUUUUGUGAUCGUCCACAUUUCGUUCAUCAGAAAAUACGUGACGUCUGGCGACCCUGGGAUCUUGCUCUAAUAAGGCUAGUAUUUGGGCACAUUAUGAUGAUAGAGAUGACGGUUAGAGUGGUAUGAACAUGUGAUGCGUAGAGAGAGGCAAGUUACUAGGAGAUGUAUGGAAAUGGUAGUGCAAUGUAAAGGGUGAAGAGGUCGACCGAAGAAGACAUGGAUGGAGUGUGUGAAUGACGAUAUGAGAGAGAGGGGAGUGAGUGUUGAGCAGACGGCUGAUAGAAGAGAAUGGAAGAGAAAAAUUAGCUGUGCCGACUCCACCUAGAGAGGUAAGGUGAAGAAAAAUAUGAAGAUGACGAUGGAGAGAAGUGGUGUUGCUAGGGACCGCUGGCGUGAUAACACUAAAUAUACACGCUCGAAAAUUUGCGUCUAAAAAAAUAAAAACUAAAAAAUACACUUUCAUAAUGAGCCGAAAUAAACCUUAAAAAUUUGUGAAUACAAAUGUCCUUGAGAUCGUUGUCAAGAAAUUAGCUUUAAAUUAUAAUGUUAUCAUUAUCCGACAUUUACUCGUAUAUAUAUAUCGAGUGCUAAUAAAAAAUAUUCUUUCAACCAAAUUAUAAUGUUCCUUCACAACUUCUAUAUUUUUUACGUGACUUCCUCGUUCUUUUCGUUUUAAUAAUCUUAAUAUAUAUAUAUUUCUUCUGUGCGUGUGUUUGUCACUCAACUCCUCCUAAACGGCUGGACCGAUUUUAAUGAAAUUUUCUGUGUACCUUCCAGGUGGACUCGAGAAUGGUUUAGAUUUACAAAUCAGCCCAGCAGAUUGCGCUGCAGUCGGUAUCUAGGUUAUUUAUAUUUCCCAGAAAUAAUUUAUUUGGCAAAACAACGUUUGCCGGGCCAGCUGGUUACAACAUAAAUCACCUGUCCGAAAAUUGGGUUGAACCGCAAAUGUUUACAAUGGUGAUUGUGCAUAAAAAAAACACUAUGACCCACAAUAAUUAUACAAGAAACGAAAUUCAAUAGGUCAACAAGACAGGGUCACAUAAUUUGUUUGGUUUACGUGAUCGGUUCGCGAUCUCGUCUCCAAAACCCAAAUGUCAUUUCGAUUCAGAUAGAGCGGGCGGUCUCGUCAUUAUUUUUUGACCUGCCGCCGCUCGCCACACCUACGACCCGCCGAAAUAAAACGAGUUUACGUAAUUAGUCGCGCGCCGCGUACGUAAUAAUGUGGACACAGCUUAAGAAAUGUACGUGCAAAGUUUACAUGCGUUAUGAUCACACAAAUUUCACUUGUCCGUGUCGUAUCUCUAUGUUUUGUUGUUACGUAAUUGAUUUUUGUGUUAUUUUGACAGUAACGAUAGAGGUUGAUAGUUCUAUUUAUUUAUUGAAUAGUAUUUGAGUAGUGAAACGCAGUCGGGUUCCGCUGUGACUGUCGCUGAUUUUGUGAAAACCAUAGAAACUGAUGGUAGGGCCUCUUGUGAGUCCGAGCGGGUAGGUACCACCACCCUGCCUAUUUCUGCCGUAAAGCAGUAAUGCGUUUCGGUUUGAAGGGUGGGGCAGCCGUUGUACCUAUACUGAGAUCUUAGAACUUAUAUCUCAAGGUGGGUGGCGCAUUUAGAUGUCUAUGGGCUCCAGUAACCACUUAGCACCAGGUGGGCUGUGAGCUCGUCCACCCAUCUAUCGUCUCAGGACGGAGGCUAAUUCUUGUGAAUUGGCGGUAGUUCUUUUGACGUUCAACAAGUAUGUACUUUCAUUUAUGUUGAAUAAAACUUUUUUGAUUUGAUUUGAUUUAGCAAUAAAAAAAUAAUGAAGGAAGAUAGUCAGGGUUAUGUGAAUAAGUGAUAACAAAGUAUGGGUUACUUUAGAAUAAUAAUAAUAAUAAAAAAAUGUUUAAGCUAUCGUACCUUGAUGGUACUAGAACAGAAUUAAGUCUAAAAUUAGAUUGCCUACAACAACUUUAACAAAUUUUAUCACAGUCGUAUUUAAUGGUUUAAGAAUUUAAUAAAGAUGAUAUCUGCAAA